GCGCCAGUAGUUUAGUGGUAGAAUUCAUCAACCGAAUUGGAACCCGGGCAACCGAGUCCCGCCUGAUGAGACCCGCGUUCGAUCCGCGGCUGACGCA